rnacentral:rRNA from 2 species
GACCAUUCCACGGUUUCCGUGACGCAGCUAACGCAUUAAGUUCCCCGCCUGGGGAGUACGGCCGCAAGGCUAAAACUCAAAGGAAUUGACGGGGACCCGCACAAGCGGCGGAGCAUGCGGAUUAAUUCGAUGCAACGCGAAGAACCUUACCAAGGCUUGACAUACACCAGAACGGGCCAGAAAUGGUCAACUCUUUGGACACUGGUGAACAGGUGGUGCAUGGUUGUCGUCAGCUCGUGUCGUGAGAUGUUGGGUUAAGUCCCGCAACGAGCGCAACCCUCGUUCUAUGUUGCCAGCACGUAAUGGUGGGAACUCAUGGGAUACUGCCGGGGUCAACUCGGAGGAAGGUGGGGAUGACGUCAAAUCAUCAUGCCCCUUAUGUCUUGGGCUUCACGCAUGCUACAAUGGCCGGUACAAAGGGCUGCAAUACCGUGAGGUGGAGCGAAUCCCAAAAAGCCGGUCCCAGUUCGGAUUGAGGUCUGCAACUCGACCUCAUGAAGUCGGAGUCGCUAGUAAUCGCAGAUCAGCAACGCUGCGGUGAAUACGUUCCCGGGUCUUGUACACACCGCCCGUCAAGUCAUGAAAGUCGGUAACACC